AAUAGCAAGCCUUGAAAACACACAUGCACCGACACAUGGUCCCGGGUGCCGCUGACAACGUUUUAUACGUGGUCAAUGGUCGGAUCCAUGGGGUGCGUGGAGGCCUAAC
rnacentral:sRNA from 1 species